AGGAUUAACGCUGGCGGCGUGCCUGACACAUGCAAGUCGAACGAGGCCGCAAGGCCGAGUGGCGGACGGGUGAGUAACACGUGACCAACCAACCUCGAAGUUGGGAAUAGCUCUGCGAAAGUAGGGGUAAUACCGAAUGUGGCCCAGGGCGGGCAUCCGCCUUGGUCUAAAGAUUCAUCGCUUCGAGACGGGGUCGCGGCCUAUUAGCUUGUUGGUGAGGUAACGGCUCACCAAGGCGAUGAUGGGUAGCUGGUCUGAGAGGACGACCAGCCACACUGGGACUGAGACACGGCCCAGACUCCUACGGGAGGCAGCAGUGAGGAAUCUUCCGCAAUGGGCGAAAGCCUGACGGAGCAACGCCGCGUGUGGGAUGAAGACUCUAGGGUUGUAAACCACUGUCGGAGGGGACGAUCGUGACGGUACCCUCCAAGAAACGCCCCGGCUAACUACGCGCCAGUACGCCGC
rnacentral:rRNA from 1 species